GUAGGUGAACCUGCGGAGGGAUCAUUAACAUCAUCACCCAUCGUGAUGGGAAGAACUGUGUGUGGGCAACCACACACACUCUUUCCAUUCGAUCUCAACCCUGAACGCCGUCACACACAUUAUACCCACACUGGGAUCCUCUCUUUCACACACACACACACACAUUCAAUGCAUAUUGAUCUGUGUGUGUGUGUGAUGAUGGUCCUCCCCUUUUUCUUUUUACCCCUGACAUGAUUGAUCUUCUUCCCUCCCACAUUUGUGUGUGUGCUGCAGUCUGUUUUUGCAGGCUGGAGCUGCAUCAACUUGAUAUGAAUGUACUAUAUCACUCCCCACCCUGGAUAUCUUGGUUCUC
rnacentral:misc_RNA from 1 species